rnacentral:lncRNA from 1 species
CGCCUUUCAUUGGCUCCUGCCGCCCUCGCGACUUUAGACCGAGCUCCGAUUGGCCGAGCUCAAAAAAGCCGACUUUGAGCUACGGUAUUCAAAUACGUGCCCCGUUGACUGCUAUGGCCAACUUGGAGCUUGGCUGACUGCUGUGUAUAGAGGGCAAGCUUGGCUUAGAUGAUCUUUGACAUCCCUGUCAAUUCUCAAUCCCUGAUUAUCCAGUGGAACAACAGAAUGACAACUGCUGAUACUUUUUGUAGGUUUUUUGUCAUCAGAGAUCUAAAGUUGGAAAGGACCUUGGAAGAUAUUAUCUCUAAUCCUUCCCUUCAUGAUGAGAAAUCAGGACCAGAGAUGUGAAACUUGGCCAAGAUCACGUUGGUAGUGAGUUGCAGAGCUGGAAAUCAGACGCAGGAGAUGGCUUGACCGGUAUAGGAAGGAGAAUGAAGAAAUUUAGAAUUGGAGAUAAUGUAAAAACAAAAAAUAUCAAUAAAAAAUUUGAAAU